UAAAUCUGGCUGCAUGGACACAAUUUUCAAUGAAAUACAGCGUCACCAAUCUCUUUCAACAUUUACCCUUCUUCACCACAAGAAUUUCAAGGCAGUAACAGAAAAGAAAGAGUGGUUCUCCAAAGGCAUUUUGAACUUGGAUAAAUUGCUGCAUGAGACCAUGGUGAGAGUCACAGACUGUCCCAACCAUCCUUGAUGCAGCUCACUACCAGGUACUUUGACAGAUAAGAGACCUCCAGGGUCUCUGGGAGAGGAUCUUGACAUCACUUGUUACCUGAUCAUUUGAAUUGAAGAUACCAGAGCUUGAAUUUGGGACCUUCAGUGCACAAAGUUCUGCUAUUGAACCAAAUGGCACUACAAACAGAUUAAUGCAUUUCCUUGGUUUCCGCUAAUAGGGAGCCUGCAUUUACUGUAAUGAAAAGGCAAACAGGAAUACUCUAGCCAUGAAUUACUCCCCUGGUUUAUUGGAUUUACUAUGUACCCCAUCUUCACUCACCCUGUACCACUGCAAUAUUCUAGAAUAAAGCACUGAAGCAAUA